GUAUGUGAGGGUGAUCUGGAUGUGAUGUCUCCAGGGUUAACUCAAGUGAUCUGGAUGCUAGGCUGCUGUCCCCUCUCUCUUUCACUAUCCCUUCUCCAUUCCAUCUCUAUCCUCUCCAAAGCAUCAAGGUGGGCUGAAAAAGAACAGCUUUCCCCAUGAGAGGAAGAAGGAGCAUUCUUCAGGCUAGGGUGCAUGAGGAAAUGCACCCCACUCUCAGAGCCUCCAGACAAGCCUCUAGAAAACUGCUUGGCUGUAGCAGCUGUAAUUCCGCAAUCCCAUUCUCCGAUACACAUUAAAAAUGCACACACAUGU
rnacentral:snRNA from 1 species